AGAACAGAGAGGUGCACAUGGUAAAUAUCAGGCCUUCAGCAGAGCAGGCUCAGUAGUUGCCUGGACAGCCCCAGACCCUGCAGUUCAAACAGCUAUCUCAGAUCACUCACAGGCUAUUUGUACAAGGCUUUGUAUGCACCAUCCGAGACCGUGAAAUAACAAGCAGCUAAAAUGUAAACUUACGUUCUUAGAUCACUCUCUCCAAGGUAUAUUAUGAAACACAAUGUUUGUCAUCCGUGUCAACAACACACGAUUAGGGGCGGGAGCAGAAAACAUGCUGUGGGAAAAGCUGAAUGGUCACAAAGAACUACAGAGGAAAACAAAGGUAAAGACUGAGCAUGAAUGGAUCAAACCUGUAAAAGCAAGUAGGUGGGACGCCCAGCAAAGCCCAUCCGACUGCCAGGCAGCCAGGGUAGCACAUCUGCCAUCACGGCACUGCCUCAGAGCCAGCUGCCUGCUGGCACUUGGAGCUGUGGAGGAGACCUUGCAGCAAAGUGGAUGCCGAGUGCCUUACUUGAACGGGGCACAGCAUAGGAUGGAGAUGCUGCACAGAGCCCUGUCUGCUCAGCAUUUUCCAAAAUGAGGCAGAUUGUUUUGCCACACCAUUACAAAUCUGGGAGCCUCCUUCUAGAUAGUCUUGUUUGGAAAUCCGGGCUGGGGCCUUUUAAAGACUUAGCAACUCCCUAGUUAAGCUUUUAAUAUCCACGUUAAAUAGAUCACUGAGUGCGUCCUGGUAUUCAAGAGAACAGUGGGCCAUUCUUGGCUGACGAGUAACUUCUACACAAAGAAAUUAUUUGGUACCUCCUGCAUUUGCUUUGUCUGUGCAUAAUGCAGUCUUUGAGGGAGGGACUUGUCCUUAGCACUGCAAACACCAGCUUCCUCUGUGCUCCUCAGUCCUCCCUUCAUCAGCAGCAGCCUCUCAACCCAAGGGCCUCUGCGUAGGCUUGACUUUCACCCCACUGUUCUACAGCAUUUUAUUCUUAAUCACUAUUUAAACUUCAAAUCUGGAGCCCUAAGUUCUGCAAUACUAAAUUAUCCAUAUUCCACAAUUGCUAAACCCUUGCCCAAACAGGUGACCAGACAGGAUGCCCCAUGGGCUAGCGAUUGCUCCAGCAGCCCAGCACUAAGCUGUGAGUUUAAAGAGCUGUUCUAACAGGGCAGCAGCCUUCCUUCAGCCACCAAGAAUAAAAAGCCUCCAUGCACACAAGAAAGCUGCCUGCCUGGCUCAGUUCUGGUCCUCACAAUUCAAGGGGAGCAAAGCUGCUGAUCCCUUCAAAGCAUUUAAAGUCGGCAGAAAUGAGUGCAUCCCUGGGGCUGCAACUGGCCAAUUUUUGCUUUUGCAAUUUUUGUUUGCCUUUGCUACACGUAGCAGAGCUCUUAGCUAAUCGUGUGUCACUGGAUUUCUGGAUUUAGAGACAAAGAAGUGGCUGGCCUGCUCUGUGCAAAUAGCUUUGGUGCUUGGCCACAGCAGGGCAUCUGGAAAGCAAACAGCACAUUUGACAUGGCUGUCAAGGAUCUAGAUACAAAUGGUACAAAUGACAAAGAUGUCUGUCCAUCCAUCUACCUGCCUGUUCAGGAAUGCCAAGAGCACCAACCUACGGCAGGUCUGACACUCUUGUUUGUUCCGUUCCCGUCCAUUUGACCUUGCUGUAUCAGACAAGCUAUUUGUCAGAGCCAGAGAAAUCUGCCGCAACAACAGAGGGAAUAUCUGGUGUCAGUAUUUCCAUCAAGAAGCUGGAGAAUAUCUCAUUAGAGAAACUAAAUCGGUGCUUUGAUUGCUCGGAAGGAAGCCAUUUGUUUUGCAAAAAUCUCCGAGCUGUUAUUCACUUCUUGUAAAAUUAUAAUGCCUCAAGUCUUAUUCUAAAGCAGCCUUGGAUAGCUGGAAUGGCUUGAAAUUUGCAACCAAUAAAAAAUUUUACAGCAAAGCAGAGCUGAUCAGUGCUUCCUAAGUGCAAUAAUUAAUCUUUUCUGUCAAAACAUCAUCAGAUUUUGCUGGAUUUAAGAACAACAAAAUGUUUCAUUGGAGAAAGUAAUAAAACAGGACAUUUCCAUGGCUUCACAGAUAUUUCAAAUGCAUUUAACAUUUGUAUCUUUUCCUGAGAAAAUUUGGAACUGAAACCCUUAAUACACCUAGAACAAGCAGUUCGUCCUGGAACAGCCAGGUAUUUUGUCACAAUCGGCUUGGAGCUGCCUCAGACUUUGGCAGAGGACACCAAACGUGAAGGGGAUGGCUGCUGUGCUAGCGUCCUACCUGAGGAAAGAAGCCUGUGGAGUUGGCAUAUUGCAGCUGCAGCCCAUGUGAGGACACAACUAUAGAGUCAGGGAACACUAGAGAUCUUUCCACCUCAUUCCUAUCCUAUCCCUGCUACAUUUUGUAAAACUAGAUCUGGUUCACUCAUGUAAUGUUUAAUUUACUUUGAUCUGAAGAAAUUCUGGUGCCCAGUUCCCUUUAUUACCUUUUAACAUCUUGUGCAUUGUACAGAACAAAUUAAAAACACA